ensembl:lncRNA
CUUGAGGAUGACUGGUGCAUUGUCUGAGUGUCUACCAUCUGCCGGGAGGAGAAAUGGGGCCCUGGCUCCGGCCCUGACCUGACUAUAUUCUCAUGUAUGUGUUAUGUGUUAAAAGUUGACUAUAUUAUAAGGUGACUGCCAUGUGAUGUGCUCAUUAAGCUAGGGUAGGAGUUAGCUAUAUUUAUAAUGUACAUGUGAUGUACUCAGCAGGUUAUUUUGCCCAACAGGAGCAGAACCUCCAAUGUCGCUGUAAAAAAAAUUAUGUUGAGAUGAGAGGAGUGUAUUUAGUAGUAUUUGGUGUCAUUUGCAUACAGUGCAAUACAGUUCAAUACAUGUAUUACCGUUGAUAUUCCUUUGCCCAGAUUGGUAUGGUUUCUCUCUCUCUUCGGUCACCUAAGUAAUGUGUAUAAAGCAUAAUGUGUAGGGUUAGUAUAGACAGAUGACUGUCAUAACCUGUUGAUAAGAGUUACUAGUUUGGUUUUAACCACCCUCUCCACCCGCCACUUUACCGUCCCCAGUAGAGAUAGGCAAUGGCGUUUCAAAUGAAGACGCAAUCGAAUCAUCUGCAGGAAGUACAAAAUAAUAAUUCAAUGUUUUUUUUUGGUUUCAAACUCUUUGUUGUCUUGGCUCAUAGAAUUACUGUUAUGUCAUCAUCAUUCGUCAUCAUUACCAUGCAUAACUUUACCAUCAUUUUCUGUAAAAACGUCUCUUGCCGGUGAAGGAGGGGAGUAAUCUACAGAAAGAACAAGAUAAGAAUUUAGGUUAUGUGUUUUUGUUUCGAAACAUAGUGUCUUCUUGACUUCUAUGCAAUUAUUUGUAUUUGUUUUUAACCAUCAUUCCCUUGCAAAACUCUACCGUCAUCAGUCACAGGGGGUGAAGAUAUUUGUAGUGCGCUACGCCGUGGAAUGGGGGAUUCUAUCUGGGGUGGAGGAGGAAGGGAAGUCCUGAAAUGUGGACCUUGUCCUGCCUUUUUCCCAUUUCGUUUCUUUGUUCUCUUUUCACCUGAACAGAAUCAUAUUAGCCGAAAGUAAAUAACAGUGUUACAUGUUUACACAUUGUUUAGAAUUGCUGCUUGCACUUUUAACACUAAGUUAAUACAGUACACAAGGAUGUGCAGAUAUACCGGUGUGAAUACAUUUUUGGGGUUUGACUAUGAUGCGCCUCCCUAUGUCCUCAUUUCCUGUCUCCACACAGGACUUUGUCUCCGCCCUCUUGUUCCUCCUGACGGCCUGAUCCCAAUCAUCUAAACAGUCAGGUGGGCCAAAACAAUUAGAAAUUACACUCUUUUAAAUGUGUUGCAUGUCACCACUUAUUUAUUUGUCGCCCAUUAACACACAUUAACACACAAAUAUUUUUAUUGGCCUUUUUAGCCAGGUUUUAGGAUCGGGCAAAUCUUUGUCCUUUGCCCUCUGUGUGGGCUUGUGGAGUGGCCAGUAGCUGCAUGUCUUCUGAAAUGGAAAACAAAAUAGUUUUGCAGAACUUGCAUAGAAUUUUUGAAAUGAUUGACAUAAAGGUUUUUCGCAUGUACUUACAUCUCCCUCUUUUAUAAUCCAAUUACUGGCCACUAUGCCAACAGUCCUUUCCCCCAAAAAUUUGACGAUGCUAUACAUUCUGUAAUCAAGAACAGAGAGGUUAAUUUAAUACAGUAAAGAAUAAUUGUGUCUGUACAAGAAAUUGCAAUGAUAAUACACUGAGCAAAAUACAACAUACUGCAAUGUCAUGAAGAAUGGCCAUGAAGAGGAUUUUUUCCCCCACAGGAAUCUUGAUUGCCUUUCUUUUCAGGUUGUCAUUUUGGAUCCAUCUCAAAACGGUGUCAUUGUUCUUGUACUUCAGUACUCCGAUUAAUGUGGAGUCACAAGGGACACUGAAAAGUGGUUCUGGGUGCUGGUAUACACGGCAAAGCUGGCUUCCGUCCCUCUCCUCUAUGACCUCGCAGCAUUCGCGGCGAUUCAAAAUAAAAGAAGAAUUGGACCUCUGCCUACCAUGCUCCAUUGGCUGUCCAGCGCAUUCCUCAAGCCUUUUCACCACUUGUGACAGGGGGCAUCUUCCACUCCUUACCAUCCUCUUUAUUUUCUUGAGACAAUUUACAAAUUUAAAAGCGCUACAAUUGUCCAAUCCUCCAAAGGUCACGGCAUCCUCCACAAUGUGCAACAUUGAGUGCACGUUGUAGACCAGAAACUGGUUACCAUAAAGUUCUCAGCCUCUCUCAACAAAGAAUCGGAGGAGAUCAGCAGCAUAUCUCCAGUGUUGCUCGACCAAUGCUGGACUUACAACUCUUUAAGAUCUCUCGGUUUAAGAGCGAAGCUGGAAGGGAUGUGUGGACGGAGGUUGGUGAGCCUGCUGCUGACCUCCUCUAUUUGGGUUGCCGACAUCUUCAGGCCCUUCACUCCUCUGCACCACAUGAAGAGAAGCCUCUUCAUUACACCCAAGCAUGCCUGGUGCAUGUAAUCGAUGGGAAAUGCACUGAUCAUGUUUAUGGGUAAAUCCAAAAGCGGGGUGCUGCCAUGAUGAUGCUCGCCCUGUGUCUGUUGGCGGAAGGAGUCGUCACUCACGAGCCACCACCUCUGUGUCUUGGCCACUGGACAGGAGGUUGUUGACAUCCAUCACCAUGUCUUCCAGGAAUUCCAGAUUCUGUGGCUUCGAACCUCCACAAGUCAGGGUGAUAGGGAAGACUGACACUGGUUUUAAAUGGACAGCACAAAGGAUGGGCCACAUUGUUCUUCCUGAGCUCUUAAACAGAGGAAAAUGGACAUACUCCAUACCAGACUUUGAUGUGAUCCUGACCUCCCUUGGUGUCUUCAGGAGUGUCCUGGUGGUGGAAGGCAGGUCAGUGUGUCCGUGACCUCUCAAAACUUUCAAAAGGUCCUCAACAGCAUUGUGUUUCACCUGAAACUGGCAAGCCCAGCUAGCGAGGUCAGAUGCGAGCGAUGCCGGACGCUGGUCGGACGCCUCCAGGUCAUCCCCAAAAACCACUUCCUCCUCAUCAUCAGAGGGAUCAACAUCCAUCCAGUCAUCGAGGUCAUCCUCCAAAGCAGAACGAUCCUCAAAUGACUCAUCCAAGUCCAAGGAGUUGUCCAUGUCACCAAUAGGCGCAAGAACACCGGAUGGACUGCUGGACAAGCUGGCAUCAGCCACAUGGUGUUCUGUGACACAAACACUGGCAGUGCUUUCAGCUAUCCUAUUCAUCACUUGUUUAGCAGAUCUCCAUGAACGGAGGGACCGAACUGAAGACGCUGGGAUCCACCAUUUAAGAGACAUCCGGAAUCAACAGGACAUCUUCACAACCCUGACACGGC